rnacentral:rRNA from 1 species
AUUGAACGCUGGCGGCAUGCCUUACACAUGCAAGUCGAACGGUAACAGGUCUUCGGAUGCUGACGAGUGGCGAACGGGUGAGUAAUACAUCGGAACGUGCCUAGUAGUGGGGGAUAACUACUCGAAAGAGUGGCUAAUACCGCAUGAGAUCUACGGAUGAAAGCAGGGGAUCGCAGGACCUUGUGCUACUAGAGCGGCCGAUGGCAGAUUAGGUAGUUGGUGGGGUAAAAGCUUACCAAGCCGACGAUCUGUAGAUGGUCUGAGAGGACGAUCAGCCACACUGGGACUGGGACACGGCCCAGACUCCUACGGGAGGCAGCAGUGGGGAAUUUUGGACAAUGGGCGCAAGCCUGAUCCAGCAAUGCCGCGUGCAGGAUGAAGGCCUUCGGGUUGUAAACUGCUUUUGUACGGAACGAAAAGCCCCGGGUUAAUACCCUGGGGUCAUGACGGUACCGUAAGAAUAAGCACCGGCUAACUACGUGCCAGCAGCCGCCGCAG